AACGAACGCUGGCGGCAGGCCUAACACAUGCAAGUCGAGCGGACAUCUUCGGAUGUUAGCGGCGGACGGGUGAGUAACGCGUGGGAACGUGCCCUUUGCUUCGGAAUAGCCUCGGGAAACUGGGAGUAAUACCGGAUGUACCCUUUGGGGGAAAGAUUUAUCGGCAAAGGAUCGGCCCGCGUUGGAUUAGGUAGUUGGUGGGGUAAUGGCCUACCAAGCCGACGAUCCAUAGCUGGUUUGAGAGGAUGAUCAGCCACACUGGGACUGAGACACGGCCCAGACUCCUACGGGAGGCAGCAGUGGGGAAUCUUAGACAAUGGGGGAAACCCUGAUCUAGCCAUGCCGCGUGAGCGAUGAAGGCCUUAGGGUUGUAAAGCUCUUUCACCGGGGAAGAUAAUGACGGUACCCGGAGAAGAAGCCCCGGCUAACUCCGUGC
rnacentral:rRNA from 1 species